UCCCUGGUGGCUCAGUUGUAAAGAAUCCGCUUGCAAUGCAGGAGACCCAGGUUCGAUCCCUGGUCUGGGAA
rnacentral:tRNA from 1 species